ensembl:lncRNA
CUAGACUUAGGCAACUUAAUUAGGAGACUCCAGACGAACUCCAUCACCACAUAAUUAUGAUGCUCUUCACUUCUGUCUUUGUGGCUUCAACAAGUGAGGACGUAAGAGGUAAACACAGUGGCAUGGGACCGAAUGUUUCCGCACGGUGUGGAGAGAUCAUGCAUCGUUCAAGCAAGUUGGGGCAAAGAGGUGUUAAGAGAACAUGGCACAAGACAUGGCACAAACAUCUCUGCCAGGCUCUGGAACAACAUGUUCUCUUACGAACUCGAGGAGAGUUUACACCUUCUGCAAUCAACAGAAAAUCCAGGUGGUCCUGCUACUCCAGUUUUCUGCAUCGCUCUCCCCCUCGAUUGGUCAGCGGACAGUCUCGGCUUUCUGCCGUUGGCUGGCGUCCAGACAGCGUUCCUUCCCCUCUGUGCUAUGGAUCCUGAAUCCUUGGCUUAUUCUGACUGAACACAUCGCCAACCAUCUGUGG